GGGGACUUAGCUUAGCUGGUAGAGCGUCUGAUUUGCAUUCAGAAGGUCAGGAGUUCGACUCUCCUAGUCUCCA
rfam:Chlamydia psittaci 10_743_SC13 genomic scaffold CP_10_743_SC13.contig.0, whole genome shotgun sequence.